rnacentral:rRNA from 1 species
ACAUACAACCCUUUAAUCAGUAUAACAAACUCUAAACCCAUAAUCAAUACUGAGCUGUUCUAUAUAAAUAUAGAAGCACUUAUGCUAGAACUAGUAAUGUGAAUACACAAUUCUCCAAAAAAUGUAGGUGUAAAUCAGAUCGAAUAAAUCACUGAUAUUUAACGUCCUCUUUGAGAUCCUUGCAACAACAAAACAAGAAAACCAUGCACCAAACACCGUUAAUCUAACACAAGAACAUUUCAGGAAAGAUUAAAAGACGCAGAAGGAACUCGGCAAACUAUGAACCCCGCCUGUUUACCAAAAACAUCGCCUCUUGCCAACAACCAUGUAUAAGAGGUCCAGCCUGCCCAGUGACUAUAUGUUCAACGGCCGCGGUAUUCUGACCGUGCAAAGGUAGCGUAAUCACUUGUCUUUUAAAUAAAGACUAGUAUGAACGGCACCACGAAGGUUCAACUGUCUCCUGCAUCCAAUCCAUUAAACUGACCUCCCCGUGCAGAGGCGGGGAUAUAACCAUAAGACGAGAAGACCCUAUGGAGCUUUAAACUAAAGGCAACUGCCAAACCAUUCUACCCAUAAGGGAAAACUAUUAAACAAGCAGAAAUUGACCUAAAGUUUUCGGUUGGGGCGACCAUGGAGAAUAAAAAAUCCUCCUUGAAGAAUAGGGCUUACAACCCUUAACCAAGAACCACUAUUCUAAGUAACAAAAUUUAUGACUGCAAUUGAUCCAGUCCUACUGAUCAACGAACCAAGUUACCCUAGGGAUAACAGCGCAAUCCAUUUCAAAAGUUCCUAUCGACAAAUGGGUUUACGACCUCGAUGUUGGAUCAGGGCAU